GACAGAGGGUGCAAACGUUGUUCGGAAUUACUGGGCGUAAAGCGUGUGUAGGCGGCCAAGCAAGUCGGAUGUGAAAGCCCAGGGCUCAACCCUGGAAGUGCACUCGAUACUGCCUGGCUCGAGUAUCGGAGAGGUUGGUGGAAUUCUCGGUGUAGAGGUGAAAUUCGUAGAUAUCGAGAGGAACACCAGUGGCGAAGGCGAGUCUCUGGACGACUCCUGACACUGAGGCACGAAAGCUAGGGGAGCAAACAGG
rnacentral:rRNA from 1 species